rnacentral:lncRNA from 10 species
CUCUGCCCAGCCCAAGCUCUCCCAGCCUCUGCCUCCCAUCCCCCAGGAGGAAAGACAGUGCCCAGGCUGGGCCAGGCAGCUGGCCCUGGUGCCCAUGAGCAGAGGGGACCCUCCCUGGAGAACUCGAAAAUGCCAGUGAACAAGGCCCAAACACCUCCAUCCUGAGUCCUUCUCCAGCCUUAAAGCAAAUCAUCUUUUAAUCCUGAAACACCAAAUAUUUAAUUUAUGCUCUACCUCAAAUGUCAAGCCCACCUCCCAUCACAUAGCUUUGAAACCACGUAAAGAAGCCUAACACUUUCCAUAUGGCAAAGACAUGGGGCCUUUUAAUUGUGCCAACUGGUAUCAUUCAAGGGUAAUUCCCUUGGAAUCUGGCACUCGGGCAACAGCUGGGCCAGCCUCCAAUCUCAUCACCCAACCCCACACGUCCCCAUGGGCUCCAAGACCCUGCAGGCAACUUGGACUCAUCUGGGACAUUUCCCAAGCCCCUCAGACCUCAUCAGGAAGGAAGAGGGCAAACAGGGGCCACUCCUGCUUCUGCCUGCCCCACGACUGGCUCAUCUCGAAGCACCCCCUCUCUGGGAGUUUUGUAUGUAGCACCCUCCAGGCGGAUGCCCUGGCACAGGGCUUCUCUACAAAUGGCUUCUCCUAGAAAGUGCUCCAGAAAGGGAGAAACACACAGUCCACACCAGCGGGCUGUCAACACUACAAGGUUAUGGGGAGGAUUAAGAUAAUGUAAGCAAAGUGCUUGACACAUAUAGGCACUUAAUAAAUACUAGUUAUCAUUGCAAUAACAAUAAUACUAGUUGGAUGAGCCACUGUGUCUCCAGCCACUUAGUUGACAGGCCACGUAAAGGACUAGAGGCAGAGACUAGCCCCAAAACAGGCCUGGGGUUGGUGGGAGGACCUCUGCCAGCCCUUGGAAACCAGCAGACUUUGGAGCCCAUGCCCUCCUACAUCCUGAUGAUAUCAUGGAAGAACCUACCAGCUACCCCUUCGGCACCAGAGGGAAUCAGGGAAAUGAACUAGCCUGAGGGUUGCCCAUUGCUGUCCUGUUCAAUAUCUUAGUGCUUCCCAAACUUGGGGCAUUCCAUUCCCACAUUCACAAUUUUGACCACUUGUACUUAAUAUUUUUCUCUGAAUGGACUU